UACGUAGGAUCCUAGCGUUGUCCGGAUUUACUGGGCGUAAAGGGUGCGCAGGCGGUCUUAUAAGUCAGAAGUGAAAUCUCGGCGCUUAACGCCGAAACUGCUUUUGAUACUGUAGGUCUUGAAUCAGCGAGAGACGUGUGGAAUUCCGAGUGUAGCAGUGAAAUGUGUAGAUAUUCGGAAGAACACCAGUGGCGAAGGCAGCACGUUGGCGCUCGAUUGACGCUCAGGCACGAAAGCAUGGGGAUCAAACAGG
rnacentral:rRNA from 1 species